UCCAUCGGGGAUCGAUUCCUAGACUCGAGAUCGAGCACUGCCAAGCGCCACCCCUGUCGGCGUCGCGCAUCCCCUGCCGCCGCCCGCCACGGCCAGCAAGAGCAGCGCCGCCCCAUGGAGGAGACGUUCCGCUAGGAGGCCGCGCGGCUAGGGGGGCCGUGUGGGGAGGUGUCGGCCCGGCUGCUGGUCGGCCGCCGCGGGCGCCGGCGAGCUCGGGUCCCGGCUGCCGCAGGCGCGGGCGCGGGGGACCUUACUGGAAGUCUGGAUGAUACAGGCGUAUGCUAGUAAAGUCAACCAACACCUUACUGGGUUGAAUGGCAAGGAAUGAGCUACCUUACCACCUUUUUAACUCCUGAAGGAUCUGAGAAGUAGCAUCGCAGGAAAUCGCAAGCCCUUUUGGAUUAUGUACAAAUAUGCCAUGACUUUAGCAGGCUAAUGAUUCUGCUUCAUAGAAGCAGUACUAAUGUAGUAAGUUCACGGCUCUUUGACUGGUGAAGAAUCAGAGCGUAGGCUGUAGCAGGCUAUCAGACAGAUUAUGACUUACGACUAGAACAUAUAUCUGUAUGACUAUGUUAGAACUCUGAUGAACCGGUUAUCUGAACCUCUUUAUCUUUAGUGUGUUCUGUCUGAUGUCUGAUAGCACUUGGCGGUGCUGGUGCACCAUUGUUUUC